GAGAAAACAAUCAACAGAUGCUUUUAUUCUCAUGUUCAUAUAAUCAUCAAGAGUGAAUCAUAUACAGAUUAUUAUGAAUUAUGAACACGUGUCAUAUUGAUGAAACACUAUCAGAUAUUUUCUGUGAUUAUCGUCAGUGUUGUUUUUAGUUACACAUUAUUAUCAGAAACAUUGAAUCACAUCAAUACAAGAAUUAAAUACAGUAUGUGCUGUAGAAAUUGGAAAUGUGUGUCCCAUGUCAAAAGAAAGUGAUAUAUUGGGAUACUAAAAUAAUAAAUGAAAUAGAAAUGUUAUAUGCUGUAAAUACACUGUACAACAGUAACUUUAAAUAUUCAGUAUGAUGAUCAUGUUAAUUUCAGCAGGUCUUGUUGAUCUCUGUAUCAUUUAUAAGUGUGUAUAGUGUCCUGUAUUGAAGGGGUGUGUUUACUUCUGUCUCUUCGGUCUAUUGAUGAGUUGAACACAUUCACUAACAAUAUAAUCAAAAGGUAAUCAAAGUCUUUUUAAUCAUGUGCAUUUAUUCAGGUUAUAAUUCUGAAUGUUACAGGUCAUGUGUGUAUUUGACCUCUGAGGGGUGACUGAGAGUCUGAUGAAUGUCAGGAAUAAUGCAGAAACAGUGUUUACUCAUUUAUCCCGACUCCCAGAGAAUGAAUAUGCAUACUCUGAAUGUCAGGUUGCCCAAGUAAUGUGGCACAUUAAUGAAAGCUCCAGAAGUCAUCUGUGGAUCCGGCUGUGAGCUCUGGACUCUGGAAGAACAUUCAGGAGUCAGUACUGCAGUGACUUUGACUUCACAACCAUAGAGAGGAGACACUUACCUUUCCAUUGUCACAUUAAAGUUC